rnacentral:tRNA from 1 species
UGAAGUCGGCGUAUAGCAGCCCGGUAGCUCGUCUGCCUCUAACCAGAAGGUCGCAGGUGCGAAUGCUGCCAUUUCAG